UGUGAGCAUCUGUGUUGGGACACGCA
rnacentral:piRNA from 1 species